GAUCUCUGGUAGUAGUUGCGAUCUCGUUAGUUGCGACUGUGGUUGCCGCUCCUCGGCCAACCGACGGCCCGCCGUUUGAAAAAUGGUGUCUACUUGACUUGGGACCAGUAUGGGGUGGAAAAUGCUAGCAUUAAAUAAUUUCAACAAGGUUUUGUUUAAAAGAGGAAGAUGCUAAAAAAUCAUUGAAAAAACUGUGAACUGCUAUAAAGAAUAUUAUUUUUAUUUUAUUGCAUUUAAAAAAUACAGAUAUAUGUAUGUA